ensembl:snoRNA small nucleolar RNA SNORA48
ACCCCCUGGCAGUGGGCAAAGAGACACCUCACUGGUGGUGGUGUUCUUACAUCAGUCAGGGGCAGAAGAGAUGACAGUCCUUUGUUCAUCCUAGCUUCAUGCCUGGGUUGGUAGCUAAAGCUGUUUCAUGCCUAGGGCACAUAA